UCCAGUCUUCCUUUUCGUUUCUUUUCUUCUCUUUUUUCUUUUCUUUUCUUCCAAGCCGUGCAGAUAUCUUAAAA
rnacentral:ribozyme from 12 species